GACGAACGCUGGCGGCGUGCCUAAUACAUGCAAGUAGAACGCACAGUUUAUACCGUAGCUUGCUACACCAUAGACUGUGAGUUGCAAACGGGUGAGUAACGCGUAGGUAACCUGCCUGGUAGCGGGGGAUAACUAUUGGAAACGAUAGCUAAUACCGCAUAAUAUUGAUUAUUGCAUGAUAAUUGAUUGAAAGAUGCUAUUGCAUCACUACCAGAUGGACCUGCGUUGUAUUAGCUAGUAGGUGAGGUAACGGCUCACCUAGGCGACGAUACAUAGCCGACCUGAGAGGGUGAUCGGCCACACUGGGACUGAGACACGGCCCAGACUCCUACGGGAGGCAGCAGUAGGGAAUCUUCGGCAAUGGACGAAAGUCUGACCGAGCAACGCCGCGUGAGGGAAGAAGGGUUUCGGAUCGUAAAGCUCUGUUGUAAGAGAAGAACGGGUGUGAGAGUGGAAAGUUCACACUGUGACGGUAUCUUACCAGAAAGGGACGGCUAACUACGUG
rnacentral:rRNA from 1 species